GAUGAAGAACGUAGCGAAAUGCGAUAAGUAAUGUGAAUUGCAGAACUCAGUGAAUCAUCGAAUCUUUGAACGCACAUUGCGCCCCCUGGUAUUCCGGGGGGCAUGCCUGUCCGAGCGUCAUUGCUGCCCUCAAGCACGGCUUGUGUGUUGGGCCUCCGUCCUCCUCCCGGGGGACGGGCCCGAAAGGCAGCGGCGGCACCGCGUCCGGUCCUCGAGCGUAUGGGGCUUCGUCACCCGCUCUUGUAGGCCCGGCCGGCGCUUGCCGACACAUCAAUCUUUUUUCCAGGUUGACCUCGGAUCAGGUAGGGAUACCCGCUGAACUUAAGCAUAUCAUAAGCGGAGGA
rnacentral:misc_RNA from 1 species